AUGUUUCCAUGCACCACAGAAGUGGAUGCACCAACACAAACACUCUACAGUGAUGAUAAUAGUAAGGUGGCUUUGUGGCCAGACAUCCCCUCUUCAUUGUUUCCAACAAUCAAAGAAGUGGAUGCACGAAUACAAUCAUUCUACAAUGAGGAUCACGUCAUAUGUGAGCAAGAAGCAACCAUCAAAGAAGUAGAUGCACCAACACAAUCAAUCUACCAUCAAGAUCAUGGUAAUGAUGAAGUCAUAUUUGAAGAAGACACAGACGAGGAAGAAUACAUGUUCUCCGGCGAAGAAUGGGAUAGAGAAGUGGAAAUCAAAACUUGA
rnacentral:rRNA from 1 species